rnacentral:rRNA from 1 species
GACGAACGCUGGCGGCGUGCCUAAUACAUGCAAGUAGAACGCUGAAGGAGGAGCUUGCUUCUCUGGAUGAGUUGCGAACGGGUGAGUAACGCAUAGGUAACCUGCCUGGUAGCGGGGGAUAACUAUUGGAAACGAUAGCUAAUACCGCAUAAUAGUAGAUGUUGCAUGACAUUUGCUUAAAAGGUGCAAUUGCAUCACUACCAGAUGGACCUGCGUUGUAUUAGCUAGUUGGUGAGGUAACGGCUCACCAAGGCAACGAUACAUAGCCGACCUGAGAGGGUGAUCGGCCACACUGGGACUGAGACACGGCCCAGACUCCUACGGGAGGCAGCAGUAGGGAAUCUUCGGCAAUGGACGGAAGUCUGACCGAGCAACGCCGCGUGAGUGAAGAAGGUUUUCGGAUCGUAAAGCUCUGUUGUAAGAGAAGAACGAGUGUGAGAGUGGAAAGUUCACACUGUGACGGUAUCUUACCAGAAAGAGACGGCUAACUACGUG